UAGUGUACAAUUGAGGGUGGGGAGUGGGAUUCAUUUAGAUGGUAUUGAUAUAUAACGCAUGAUCCAUUCUCAAGUUAAAGUUUAACUUGACUGAUGCCAAGGCGGUGGCUGCUAAGAAGAAGGGAGCAGCUGCGGACUAGAAAACUGCAGCCAAGGCAGCACUGUCGAUGCAGACCCGAAGACAUUUAAGCAGCACUACAGCUGGGGCAAGAUUCUUCCAUCAUUCACACACAGUAGACAUAAUACACACGAUGACCAUGAUGAAUGUUGCAACUGAGACAGAAUGACGUCGAGGGACACAUGCUGAGACCCCGAGUAUGACUGGACAUGGGCCGGAUAUUUGUGACAACAACCUAAAAGGGGUGCAGAAGCACAUCAGCACCCCGUUUUAUGUUUAUUCCAUGGCCAACCAUCCCUCUAGCUACCCCUUAUUCCACACUAUGCCUUUUAUGCCCCAUGGUCCCUCAACUUCAGACACUUUGGAACUCUCCAUCUUAUCUCUAUAAACCCACCCUACCUUCACCCAUUUUCCCCAUGCUGCUUCCUUCUCUUGUUCUUCUCCUAAUUGGAUAACAUCUAGACUCAGUAACACGUUUAAGUGUUGUGGUGUACUGUUUUUGCUACCUUUUUUUCACCUGUGUAAUGCUGUCCUCCUGCUUAUUCUGGGGUUCAGACUGAAGAGGUGUUGGGUUAAAUGUGGAAGACAUUUCGUUUGAAUGCAUUCAGUUCUGCAACUGACUAGGUAUCGCCUUUCCCUUCCCGUUGAAUGCAGUGUUAAAUGUGCUGCUCACAAUUGACAGCAGCAACAUGGACAGUGUUAAAUUGACAAGAAGGGUGUUGAUAUAGCUGUGUUUAGGCAUGGCUUCCUUGUUUUGGGUCUGUUAAGUGUGUUUGUCA